CCUUCUCCAGGCCGCUGCCGCUGUCUAUGCACGACGCAACCGACAAGCCCCAAGCGACUUCCCCAACAAAACCGUAGGCUUCAGCUCCUCACCGCCAGCAGCCGUUGACUCCCACUUCCCCGCCUGCACCAACCACGGUUCAUUCACUCGCGCCUACGUCCACGCCAAUACGAAUCAAUCAAACGAGUCGAGGAAUUUCCCUCCGGAUGUAGAGAGGAUUAGGGUUCAGGGCAUCGGAGGCGACGUGACCUCGGCGUCAGGCAAUGCGGUUAGGGAAUUUCUCUGCCGGAUUCGAGGGAUUAGGUGUUGGGCGCUGCAUGGAUGCUACUGCCAGAGAAGUGUUUGGUCUUGGUGAGGUUGCAAAAGCACGUGAAGUGGAAACAAAGUUGUCUGCUGCCACUUCUCAUCUGAUGGCAAACUGUUUGCUACUGGUGGUCUUGAUAAAAAGGCGUGUUUAUCAGCACAAAACCAUGAUCUCACCAGUUUUAGAGAAGCUUAAAUUAUUCACCUGCUCCUACUCUGUACAGGUUGUUUUGUGGUGUAGAGCCUUUUAAGCCUAAAUCUUCACUAGAAGAGCACUCGUUUCUGAUCACUCAUGUUAGAUUUAGCCCAAGCACGUCGCGCCUCGCUACAUCCUCCUUUGACAAAACUGUGCGGAUUUGGGAUGCUGACAAUACUGACCAUUCACUCCGUACCUUUACGGGCCAUUCAACACAUAAUAUCUCUUGAUUUUCACCCAAGCAAAGAAGAUAUGAUUUGCUCCUGUGAUGGUGAUGGGGAAGUGCGCAGCUGGAGCAUAAAUCACGGUAGCUGUUUGAGCUGUGUUAAGGUCUUUGAGGUAUGUAGCAAUAGCUU